rfam:Bacillus sp. KCTC 13219 scaffold6.1, whole genome shotgun sequence.
UGCACCUUUAAUGGCAGUCCAGAGAGGCUGAGAAGGGAACUUGUGAAGUGUGGGGGAUUUUUGUGCGCAAAAUUCUUGCUACACGUUAUUUCAACAUGGAAUUUUCAGCCUCUCAAGCAACUGCUUGAGAGGCUUUUUUGC